CUGGGCUGCGGCGCCCGCCCCCCAGCGGCGCUGAUUGGUCGCCCGGGGGUGGGAGCUGGGGGAAGGAUGGCGUCGGUCCCUCCGCCCGCGGUAUUUUCCAUAUGCGCAGAGUGAUCCCUGAUCCCACCCUCGAACGCCAGAAGGGAUAGUGCUGCCGCCCAGCGCCGCUCCGGUUGCUGAGCUGCUGUGCUGUGACGGGGAGCAGGCGCUGUGAGCGCCUCCAUCCUCUCCAAGAGGCGGAGACCCACGAGACACGGCACCACCUGCAAACGUCUGCAGGGAGCAAGGGUUCUAGCCCUGAGAGAUAUACUGUGGGACCUGAAGCCGUGGACUGCGCCUCCAGCACUGCCCGGGAUGCAAGAAGCUCUGUGAGAACAGUGGUCAUCUGUGGCUCCACGUCUGCCUGGAGAACAGCUUCCCCGGCAGCUGGGACAGUGAGGGCAGCUCUGGGGACUGCAGCUCACCUGUGGUGAUGCCUUCAGCAUCCCAGAGCCCAGGCGUUUCCUCGGCAGGAAUCAUUAACUCUGCUUCACCAGUGUUAUUUGUAAGGCCUGCUUGUGGGGAGCAUACUCAUCUCCUGGCCAAGGGCUUUGGCCCGGCAAGUGCCUGUACUGAUCAGGGCCAGCCACCUCUGGAGCAGCCUGACUGCGUUUUUUCACCACAGCACUUAAGUCUUGCUUUCCUCUGGACCUUCUCACAGUUUGCUUAUAGAACACCAAGGACACCGACUGCUUUCCUUGGUGUCUGCUUUCCAAGUGUGGAUGAGAAUGGACCAGCCUGAGUUACAGCCAGUCAGGCUGAUGGUGGAGAAAGUAGUCAGGAAAAUAGCAGAAAGCUGUAGAGCUGAAACAGACCUUGGGCUAGAGGUCUUCUGCCUUAUACUGGAUGAGAAGAAUUUCCUUAAGACAGCUACUUCCGUGAAGUGAAAUAUGCUGCUAUUUCAAGCCUGUUUUGAUGCCUGGGCUCUUGAGCCUCUUGGAUGUUGAUUGUUAGAGCAAUGUUUUCACCUUAGGACAAAACCAUGUUGCUUCAGCUCCAUAAAGAGGUCACAUUGUCCACCUGUGCCUCUGCUAGCAAUCUUUGACCCAAAUACUUCUGCCUAUGCUGCUGCCAAGCCUUGUUGUGUUUCAAAGGGAGACUGACUAUCAUUUUGCAUGGUGAUGGAAGACAUUCAGCUCACAGUGUGAUGGAAAGGUACUUUUUCAGCUGUAGUGGAGUUAGUAUAUUGAUUACAGAUAUCACUUGAAUUCAGCAAACAAUAUUUGCCUACCCUUGCAUUUGCUGCAAAGGGGUAUGCCUGUUCCUAAAAACUGUGAGGAUAAUUGCUGGUCAAGUAAAGUUAUCGAGGCCUUUAGAUUCAUUGCCAUUUUUCCCCAUUUGUAUACAUAAGGUAAUGUUCUGGAUAAAAAAAAUUUAGGUUCAUGAGCAUGUUUUCUUAAUCUUCAAAAACUGCUAACAUGCUCAUAUUACAAGAAAAAAGUUGAUGUUUGAUGGAUAUAAUCCAAACCACAGAACUAAUACAAGAUGCAGUGACUUGUAUGUAACUGCAAAAAAUUGUAAAAACAUGUUAAAAAAAACAUUAAAGCAUCUUUUCAGUUGCUGUUUAAAACCACUCUUGUUUCUCAGUUUUUAAGCACUAUCACUCAGCGCUGGUUUUGCUUCCUAAUGUUGAUUUACUUUAAGCUGAGCUUUUGUUUCACAAACUUUGUGAAACACACCUGUUUAAACACUUUGGCAAUAUGGAGCAAACCUGAAAAUGCCUCAGUAUCUAUUAUUUCAUAACUGAAACCCAGUCAGGUUUCUUUUGUAUUUUAGUAUGAUAUUGUAAGCCACACAGGAAACCUACCUUCAUUUCUAUAGUGACUUAUUCUAGAAUAUUUGUUCAGAUAUUAUCAACUAUAUUAUAUAUUAAAAUUACUCAGUGUUGGCACCACUCCUAAAGACAAGCCCAUGUACAUGCAUUAUAGCUCUAUUCGGAUAUUAAAAGAGUAUAAAAUGAGUUUCAUUUUCUGACAGAUGACAAAUAAAGUAACCAUCAAAGCAAGUGGAUAAUAAUCAAAUGAAAAAAGUCACUGUGAAAUUUCCUGAAAUGUCUUCUCUCUUUGUUUACAAAAAGAUAGGUCAAGUGAAUCUUGUAUGACAAAUGGUGUUCCUUUUCCUACCGAAGUCAAUGACUGAGCUACAUUAGUUCACUGACAGCAUAAGCUGUUCCUGUUAAGCAGUAUGUGCCUUCAUGGACUUCGGUGUAAAUUUGCAUUACCCUACCCAGGUCUAACUAGAGUUUGACUAUUCCAUUCCCUCCUGGUGGGUUUGACUUUUCCUGAACAAAGUACAGCUGUCUACAAUGAAGAGACAAAAAUAUUUUUGCUUACAGAACCAAAUUCAAAGACAUGAGUAAAUGAAACAUACUUAGUAAUUCUACUGAUAAGCUGAACAUUCAGCCCAUGUUAUCAGCAUUGCCAGAUGGAUUUCAGUGGAAAUAUGCUGCUUUUUCACAAGUAGUGCUCUGGAAGACUACACAGUUUUCUCAGGUUAAGGGGGAGUUUAGACAUAAGGAGGACUGAAAACUUUCUGGUCUCAGAGACAAACACAUCCCCUUUCUUUCCACCCUUCUCCACAUUCCAAUUUCCCUCAGAAUUUGUAUAAUGGCAUUUUUCAGAAACCUUUUCACAGUAUUACCCAAACCUCAAAAGACUCAUUAAAAAGCCUUACCAUGAAGGA